rnacentral:rRNA from 1 species
UGGGGAAUAUUGGACAAUGGGCGCAAGCCUGAUCCAGCCAUGCCGCGUGAAGGAUGAAGUAUUUCGGUAUGUAAACUUCGAAAGAAUAGGAAGAAUAAAUGACGGUACUAUUUAUAAGGUCCGGCUAACUACGUGCCAGCAGCCGCGGUAAUACGUAGGGACCAAGCGUUGUUCGAAUUUACUGGGCGUAAAGGGCGCGUAGGCGGCAAUUCAAGUCAUCUGUGAAAUCUCCGGGCUUAACUCGGAACGGUCAGAUGAUACUGCUUUGCUAGAGUGCAGAAGGGGCAAUCGGAAUUCUUGGUGUAGCGGUGAAAUGCGUAGAUAUCAAGAGGAACACCUGAGGUGAAGACGGGUUGCUGGGCUGACACUGACGCUGAGGCGCGAAAGCCAGGGGAGCAAACGGGAUUAGAUACCCCCGUAGUCCCUGAGCGGGCUGGCAAGGCGCAU